ensembl:miRNA mir125b-1 microRNA 125b-1
UCCCUGAGACCCUAACUUGUGACGUUUUCCUGUUAUGUGCACGGGUUAGGUUCUUGGGAGCU